UUAGAUGAUAAUGAACAAACUGAUAAAAUUGAACAUUUCUUAAAGUCUAGGAGCGGUGGACCUGAAUCUUUGAGAAUGACCGUGUUGACUCGUUUUUUGGGAGAUCUACAUAUGCACCUCGAUUGUUUCAAAUAUCUAGUUAUUAUUAAGUGAAAAGACGCAAAAACAUGUAAUAUAAAAAGAGUGAGAAAAAGAGAAAAUCAUGUAAUAUGAUUUAGUUAAGCGUUAAUU
rnacentral:sRNA from 1 species